GGGUGGAAGUGCGGGCUGCGAGGUUGGGGACGCCGGCGCCGGCGGUUGGGCGCCGGCGCGGCGUGAGAGAGAGAGAGAGAGGCGGCUAGGGUUUGGGGCUCUCGUCUCCUGAGGGAGACGACAACAGAAUAUAUUGUUUAUUGUCUGAUUAAUAUCGAAGGGGUACAUGUGUUUAUAAAGGAGGACAGCCUCCACUAAACCCUAGAUAACUUGGACUCUAACUUGGACUCUAAUAUAACUUGGACUUCUAAGAUAGGUAAGAUAACUUGAGCUAAGCCCGUAAUUAACCCUGCCCCUUGGGCCUCCUCCGUUGGUACGUUGUACCGGUCAUAACAUCUCUCCCCGCCUUCUCAAACAGCUCGUCCUCGAGCUGAACAUCUGGAAACUGCUGGCGGAAAUCGUCGAGCUUCUCCCAAGUCGCUUCCUCCUCUGGUAGGCCGGUCCAUUGUACCAAGACAUGCCAGACGCCGCGACGCUGCUGCGCCUGUAGCACCUUCGCCACCUGUGCGGAAGCUGGAAGGAGGCGGCCAUCCAAAGUAGGAGGAAGGGCCGGUGUCGCUGCAGGAGGGUCCCCGCGGUAGGCCUUCAGUAAGCCGACAUGGAAGACGUCGUGGAGGCGAGAACCAGCUGGCAGCUCCAAGCGGUAUGCGAGUGUGCCGACACGCUCCAGCACACGAAAGGGACCGGCGUAGCGAGGUCCCAAUUUGCGCUUGGAGCGCGGGUCCAGAGACUGCGUGGUCCUGUGGAGGAGGCGCAGCCACACCCAAUCGCCCACCGCGAACUCCGCCUCGCGAUAAUGAGCAUCGUAGUACUUCCGAGCCAGCUGCUGUGCUUGGAGAAGACGCUGGCGUGCCUCAGCCAGAAUGUCGUCGCGGGUGCGGAGUAAGUCGCCCGCCGUCUCGGACCGAGCCGUCCCAGGCUCGUAAGGGAGCAUCGCCGGAGGUGGGCGCCCGUAGACCACCUCGAAAGGCGUGGUGCGCAGGGCGGAGUGAUAGGAGGUGUUGUAGCAGUACUCCGCCCACGCCAACCAGUCCACCCAAGCUCGUGGACGAUCACCAGUAACACAGCGCAGGUACAUGGCGAUCACCUUGUUGACCACCUCGGAUUGGCCGUCUGUCUGAGGGUGGAACGUCGUGCUCAUGCGGAGCUUCACGCCCGCCAGUCGAAAGAGAUCCCGCCAGACAUGUCCCGUGAACACGGGAUCACGAUCGCUGACGAUGGACGAGGAAAACCGUGGAGGCGGACGAUGCCGUCGAAGAAGGCCUGCGCCACGGAGGCGGCUGUAUAUGGAUGACCCAGGGCGAUGAAGUGUGCGUACUUGGAGAAGCGGUCAACCACCGUGAGGAUGACGGAUUUGCCGCCCACCUUGGGAAGGCCCUCGAUGAAGUCCAUGGAAAUAUCCGCCCACACCUAGGAGGGUACGUCCAGCGGCUGCAGUAGACCCGCGGGUCGUAGUGUCUCCGUCUUGUUCCGUUGGCACGUCACGCACGACCGCACCCAGUCGCGGACCAUCGCGCCAUCACCGGGGAUGUAAAAAUCAGUACGGAGACGAUGGAGAGUCUUCUGCACGCCCUCGUGCCCUGCAGAGUGCGCCAAGGUCAGGACCUGGUGGCGCAGGUCGCCAUGGUCGGGCACGAAGAUGCGGCGGCCAUGUAGGAGUAGCCCCUCGUCCAAACGCCAGGGCGCGUCCAGCUCGCCGGCGUCAAGGCGCUAGCGCAGGCCCUGGGCGUCCACGGCCGUCGAAGUUGCCCGGCGAAUGUCGUUGAUGAAGGCGAAAGAUGGCCCGGAGCGAAUGCACAUGAUAGUGCCAGCCAUGGCGACGUCGUCCGCGACAUCCUCAGUGUCGCGGCGGGACAAGGCAUCGACGACCGUGUUGAGACGGCCGGGGCGGUACUCAACAGUGAAGUCGAAGCCAAAGAGCUUGCUGAUCCACUGGUGUUGCGGAACUGUGGAGAGGCGCUGGUCCAACAAGAACUUGAGGCUGUAGUGGUCCGUGCGCACACGGAAUGACCGGCCCCAAAGAUAAGGCCGCCAGUGGCGCACCGCCUGAACCAGCCCAAUAAGCUCGCGCUCGUAGGCCGCGAGCUUGUGAUGGCGAGCGGCGAAGGGGCGGCUGAAGAAGGCGAGCGAUCCCUCGCCCUGGUGAAGGACGGCGCCGAAGCCGAUGCCAGAGGCGUCGCAGUCCACGAUGAACGGCAUAUCAAAGUCCGGCAUCUGGAGGACGGGUCCCGUCGUGAGCGCCUGCUGGAGAGCCUCGAAUGCCGUAGUCGCCUCCUCAUCCCAGGAGAAGGCGUCGCGUCGAAGGAGACGCGUCAGUGGCGCGGCGGUGAGGCCGAAGUCCCGGAUGUACUUCCGGUAGUAGCCGGCAAGGCCCAAGAAGCCGCGGAGCGCCCGCGGUGACCGCAGGAUCGGCCACGCGGCGACGGCGACGACCUUGUCCGCGUCCAUCGCUACCCCGUCCGCCGAGAUGACGUGCCCCAGGUACGCGACGGAGGUCGUGCCGAACGAGCACUUCGAGCGCUUGAGGUGAAGACGAUGCGCUCGAAGCUCGUUGAAGAUGAUGGCCACAUGUUGUAGAUGCUCCGCCCAAGAUGCACUGUAGAUGAGAAUGUCAUCAAAGAAAACAAGCACAAAGCGGCGCAAGUAUGGGCUGAGCACGUCGUUCAUCAGGGGCUGGAAGGUCGCCGGCGCGUUGGAGAGGCCGAACGGCAUCACCAGGAACUCAAAGUGGCCAUGGUGAGUGCGGAACGCCGUCUUCUCGAUGUCGUCAGGGUGCAUGCGCACCUGAUGGUAGCCCGAGCGAAGGUCGAGCUUGGUGAAGAAGCGCGCUCCGUGUAGCUCGUCCAAGAGCUCAUCCACGACGGGGAUGGGGAACUUGUCCUUGGACGUCAGGGCGUUGAGGGCGCGGUAGUCGAUGCAGAAGCGCCAUGUGCCGUCGGACUUGCGCACAAGGAGCACCGGGGCGGAGAACGGCGAUGUCGAAAUCCGGAUGAUGCCUUGCGCGAGCAUGACCGCCACCUGACCCUCGAGCUCGUCUUUCUGCAGCUGAGGGUACCGGUACGGACGCACGGCUACAGGUGCCGUGUCCGGCAGCAGGUGGAUGCGGUGGUCACAGGGCCGCACAGGAGGGAGGCCCUGUGGCUCGUCGAAGAUGUCGCUGUGCUGCUGCAGGAGGUCGGCCAGGAGGGGAUGCGCCUCGUCCAGUGCGGACGCCAUCAAAUGGAGCUGUGGAGUCACGGCGCCGGAGCCGCCGAUGCCUGUCCACUGAACGCGACGGCCGCCCUCGCGCCAGAAGAUGAGGGACAGCACAUCGAGGUCCCAAAGGAUGGGGCCGAGAGUGGACAGGAAGUCGAUGCCGAGGAUGAAGUCGUAGCUGCCCAGGUCGAUGCCGACGCAGUUGAUGGAGAACGGCUCGUCGCCAAUGAGGACGGGAACCUGCCGCGCCACCCCCUAGCAAGCAAGGCGGUCCCCGUUGGCGACGGUGACGCUGAACUUCUCCGAGCCCGCCGGUUGGAGUGCGAGGCGGCGCAUGGCGUCCCCGGACAGGAAGUUGUGCGUCGAACCCGUGUCCACGAGCGCGGUUAGACGCUCCCCGUUGAUCGUCACCGGAAGCAGCAUCGUCUUUGCCGUCUUGAUGCCAGCCAUGGCAUGAAGGGAGACGACGAAGGCGGUCGCGUCGACCGACCCGUAGGUCACCGGAAGCAGCAUCGUCUUUGCCGUCUUGAUGCCAGCCAUGGCAUGAAGGGAGACGACGAAGGCGGUCGCGUCGACCGGCCCGUAGGUCGUGACGCCGGCCUCGGAGAGUGUGGUGGCGUCGAGCUCCGCGGUGAGGGCCUCCACCUCCGCGUCGUCGACGGUCUCCAAGUAGAACAGGCGGGCGCACGUAUGACCCGGCGCAUACGGCUCGUCGCAGUUGAAGCACAGGCCCUUGCGGCGCCGCUCGAGCUGCUCGGCCGACGUCAAGCGCCGGAAGGUGCGUGUCGGCGCGGGGGCAGCCGCCGUAGCGGCCGGCAGGGCGUGUCGGGGUGGCGGCCGCCGGGGCGGGGCGGGGCGGGGAACGCGUGCCGCGGCCCGGGAACGCCUGCUGCAGGGCGUUGGCGCGCUGCUCGUACGCGCGUGCGUAAUACAUGGCCGUCUGCAGGUCCUGGGGGUCGCGCAUCUCGACAUCGAUGCGGAUGUGGUCGGGAAGGCCGCCGACGAAGAGCUCGGCGCGUUGGCGAGCCGUGACGUCAGGCGCAUGGCAGGCCAACGUCUGGAAGCGGUCGGCGAAGUCCUGCACCGAGGUGGUGAAGGGAAGGCGACCGAGCUCGGCCAAGCGGCUCCCACGUAUGGGGGGGCCGAACCGGAGGAGACACAGGUCGCGAAAGCGCUCCCAUGAAGGCAUCCCGCCCUCGUCCUGCUCGAGGGCGUAGUACCAAGUCUGGGCGGCGCCACGGAGGUGGUAGGAGGCGAUCCACGUGCGGUCGGACGCCAUGGUCCGCUGCCCCCUGAAAAACUGGUCGCACUGAUUGAGCCAGUUCAAGGGGUCGACGGUGCCGUCGUAGGUGGCGAACUCCAGCUUGGUGAAGCGGGGUGGCUGUUGCACGUGUGGCGAGGCCGCGUAGGUGCCCUCGUGACGGCCCAGCGCGGCGGAAGGAGAGUGUUGCGGCACCACGGAGCUCCCGGCGUACAGAUCAGUGUACCCGCCGAACCCCCCGAAGGUGGGGGCGGGUGGCUGCAACACCGUCGGCUGUAGUGGCGCCGUCGUGUANNNNNNNNNUAGGUCGGCGUGUCCAUCCACGUCGGUAGCGGGGACGGCGACGGCGGCCACCGGACCUGGGUGAUCGGCAGGCCCUGGGGCACGACAGUCGCCGGGGGCGGUGGCGCGAAGGGCGCCGCCGGCGGAGGCGGUGGUGGCGGGGUUGCGUACGGAGCCUGGAGGAGAGUCCGGAGGUUCGAGACCGCCAGGUUGAGGUCGCGGAUCGCCGAGGACAUCUCCGCCGGGGAGAGGACGGGAGCGGGUUCGGCCGCCAGGGCCGCGGGACCGGAGGCGGCCGGGCCUGAGGUGGCCGGCGGCGGUGAGUGGUGCGGCGGCGGCUGCUGCUGUGAGGUGGCGGGCAAGGCGGUGGUGGCGGCGGCGGUGGUGGUGGGAAGGUCCGACAAACUCAUCGAACCCAAGCUACCUGAUACCAAAUUGGUAGAGGCUAGGGUUCUACCAGGUCUCGGACGUAGGUUGUAGGGCUGGAAGUGCGGGCUGCGAGGUUGGGGACGCCGGCGCCGGCGGUUGGGCGCCGGCGCGGCGUGAGAGAGAGAGAGAGAGGCGGCUAGGGUUUGGGGCUCUCGUCUCCUGAGGGAGACGACAACAGAAUAUAUUGUUUAUUGUCUGAUUAAUAUCGAAGGGGUACAUGUGUUUAUAAAGGAGGACAGCCUCCACUAAACCCUAGAUAACUUGGACUCUAACUUGGACUCUAAUAUAACUUGGACUUCUAAGAUAGGUAAGAUAACUUGGGCUAAGCCCGUAAUUAACCCUGCCCAUUGGGCCUCCUCCGUUGGUACGUUGUACCGGUCAUAACACUUUAUAUUUCAGAAAAAAAAAUGUUUUUUACUUGCUUUCUGUCUAAUUGGACAAGGUAAACAUAGUAGUUACAGGGGCGUCAUAAAACCAGUAAUUACAGUAUCAAAAAGAUUCAUGUUUGUCAUUCCUUUUAACAGGACAAGAUACGGAAACAAAUAAGAGCAGUUUUGACAUGCUCCCUCUUACCCCCUCUUUUCAUAUGAGAGGUAAGAGUAUAUAGUAGAUCUGAGCCAUUAAUCACAUUAAUUAGUGGUCUGAUUAACUCUUACUC
rnacentral:lncRNA from 1 species